UAGAACAUGGCUGAUAAGAAUCUUCUCAGGUUCAUGAUAUGAUAAUGUCAAUCUUAUAUUUAAUCUCUGUAAACUUUCCUUUAAGCUUUUUUCUUGACUGCCCACAUCAGUGUUGACAGGUGGGUGGGGAAAUGAUUACUUCAGACAUAAAUACGGUCUCUGUGAAACAGAAAUAAAACAGUUGCUUUCAAAGAGUUGAAGAGGUGCUUAAAGGCAAGACAAAGCUAGUGCGCCUGUCACUGGACCAAAUAAUCAUCUCCAACAAUGCCCUGUUCUCGUUGCAAAUUGGAACUAUAUAAAAAACAUACAUAUUGCUCUGUAUGUCGGAAAUUUGGACCAUGCAUUCAUUUCUGUCGGUGUGGGAACAAUCAACUACAGGUGUGCAACCAAUUUCUCGACACCGUGAGGUCCAUGGAGACUCAAGCUGAUGGUUUUAGGGCUUACCGUCACGAAAACGAGCAAGGCCUUCAGUUACUUUUAGUCCAACACAAAGACGGUCCAGAUACUUGGCAAUACAUGUAUCAACCUCCACGCUAAUACAUUUCUGUAGUCAUGAAAUUGUAUGUCAUGACAAAUCUUAAUGAUUUACAGCUUAAGAAAUCAACUGACUUAAAUCAAAGACAACAAAUUUGUUUUGGGGUGCAAACUUUAUGCUAACAGUUUUAUUUUAUGUACUUUGUAAUUAGUAAUUGCUAGAUUGUUUAAACUUUUAGUCACAUAGUUUAACUAAUUUCAUUUUAUGAUUGUGUGAGGGCUGAUAUAGUGGCUGUGUAUCCUCUUUCU